rnacentral:tRNA from 1 species
GUGGGUAUAGCUCAGUGGUAGAGCGCAUGCUUAGCAUGCUAAGGUCCUGAGUUUAGUCCUCAGUACCUACA